rnacentral:rRNA from 1 species
AGAGUUUGAUCCUGGCUCAGGGUUAACGCUGGCGGCGUGCGUAACACAUGCAAGUCGAACGGGCCAUUACUCUUUGGAGUGAUGGUUAGUGGCGAACGGGUGAGUAAAAGGUAGGGACCUACCCCGAGGACAGAGAUAGCUACUGGAAACGGUAGGUAAACUCUGAUAAGCCCGAGAGGGGAAAGUGGAAGGCAGCCUUGGGAUGGACCUACUAUCCAUCAGGUAGUUGGUGAGGUAAGGCUCACCAAGCCGAUGACGGAUAACCGGUGUGAGAGCAUGUACGGUCACAAGGGCACUGAGACACGGGCCCUACUCCUACGGGAGGCAGCAGUGGGGAAUAUUGGACAAUGGGCGAAAGCCUGAUCCAGCGACGCCGCGUGAAGGAAGAAGUCCUUCGGGAUGUAAACUUCUGAACUAAUCGAAUAAAAGGGUAGUGGACACACUACAGAAGAAGGUAGAUUAGGAAAAGUCCCGGCUAACUACGUGCCAGCAGCCGCGGUAAGACGUAGGGGGCGAGCGUUGCCCGGAAUCACUGGGUGUAAAGGGGACGUAGGCGGAUGAUCAAGUCAUCUGUGAAAAGAUUGCUCAACGAUUGGCUUGCGGAUCCCAGGAUACAGCAUGUUCUCUCAGUGCUGAAGGAUAUUGAUCUGGAGCACCCGAAGCUCAGCAGGGCGCUCGAGAUCAUCGAGGAUCAGCUUGAGACAUCUCCGGAGUCGAGGAUAAUCGUGUUCACAAACUACCGCGACACAGCGACAGCGCUUCUCAGGUUUCUUCAAGCGAACGCCUCUGAUGCUGUGAAACCCGUUCGCUUUGUCGGCCAGGCGAGCAGGGAGAAUGAUGAGGGGCUGAGCCAUAAUCAAACUCUAAUCACUAGUGAAUUC